AGAGUUUGAUCCUGGCUCAGAACGAACGCUGGCGGCAGGCCUAACACAUGCAAGUCGAACGAUACAGUGGCAGACGGGUGAGUAACGCGUGGGAACGUACCUUUCACUACGGAAUAGCUCCGGGAAACUGGUGGUAAUACCGUAUACGCCCUCAGGGGGAAAGAUUUAUCGGUGAAAGAUCGGCCCGCGUUGGAUUAGCUAGUUGGUGAGGUAAUGGCUCACAAAGGCGACGAUCCAUAGCCGGUCUGAGAGGAUGAUCAGCCACAUUGGGACUGAGACACGGCCCAAACUCCUACGGGAGGCAGCAGUGGGGAAUCUUGCACAAUGGGCGAAAGCCUGAUGCAGCCAUGCCGCGUGAAUGAUGAAGGCCUUAGGGUUGUAAAAUUCUUUCGUCAGGGAUGAUAAUGACCGUACCUGAAGAAGAAGCCCCGGCUAACUUCGUGCCAGCAGCCGCGGUAAUACGAAGGGGGCUAGCGUUGUUCGGAAUUACUGGGCGUAAAGCGCACGUAGGCGGAUUUUUAAGUCAGGUGUGAAAUCCCGGGG
rnacentral:rRNA from 1 species